UACGUAGGGGGCAAGCGUUGUCCGGAUUUAUUGGGCGUAAAGAGCGUGUAGGCGGCCAGGUAGGUCUGCUGUGAAAACUCGAGGCUCAACCUCGAGACGUCGGCGGAAACCAUCUGGCUAGAGUCCGGAAGAGGAGAGUGGAAUUCCUGGUGUAGCGGUGAAAUGCGCAGAUAUCAGGAAGAACACCCGUGGCGAAGGCGGCUCUCUGGGACGGUACUGACGCUGAGACGCGAAAGCGUGGGGAGCUAACAGG
rnacentral:rRNA from 1 species